UACGUAGGGUGCGAGCGUUGCCCGGAUUUAUUGGGCGUAAAGGGCGCGUAGGCGGCUCUGCACGUCCGUUGUGAAAUCGCCCGGCUCAACUGGGCGGGGUCAGCGGAUACGGCAGAGCUCGAGCAAGCUAGGGGGCAAUGGAAUUCCCGGUGUAGUGGUGGAAUGCGUAGAUAUCGGGAGGAACACCGGUGGCGAAGGCGGCAUCCUGGACCGGCAUUGACGCUGAGGCGCGAAAGCCAGGGGAGCAAACGGG
rnacentral:rRNA from 1 species